GACGAACGCUGGCGGUAUGCUUAACACAUGCAAGUCGAACGAGCGGAAAGACGAGUGCUUGCACUUAUCUUUCCAAAAGUGGCGAACGGGUGAGUAACGCGUGGGCAACCUGCCCCAUGGCGAGGAAUAGCCCCGGGAAACCGGGCGUAAUGCCUCAUGAUGUCUUUACGUCGCAUGACAUAAGGAUCAAAGGCUUCGGCCGCCAUAGGAUGGGCCCGCGUCCCAUUAGCUAGUUGGUGAGGUAAAAGCCCACCAAGGCAACGAUGGGUAACCGGUCUGAGAGGGCGAACGGUCACACUGGAACUGAGACACGGUCCAGACUCCUACGGGAGGCAGCAGUGGGGAAUAUUGCGCAAUGGGGGGAACCCUGACGCAGCAAUACCGCGUGAGUGAAGAAGGUCCUCGGAUCGUAAAGCUYUGUUAUUGGGGAAGAAAAAAAGACGGUACCCAAGAAGAAAGUUCCGGCUAACUACGUGCCAGCAGCCGCGGUAAUACGUAGGGAACAAGCGUUGUCCGGAUUUACUGGGCGUAAAGGGCAUGUAGGCGGUUUUUUAAGUCAGAUGUGAAAGGUACCGGCUCAACCGGUGACAUGCAUUUGAAACUGAAGAACUUGAGUAUUGGAGAGGCAAGUGGAAUUCCUGGUGUAGCGGUGAAAUGCGUAGAUAUCAGGAGGAACACCGGUGGCGAAGGCGGCUUGCUGGACAAAUACUGACGCUGAGAUGCGAAAGCGUGGGGAGCAAACAGGAUUAGAUACCCUGGUAGUCCACGCCGUAAACGAUGAGUGCUAGGUGUUGGGGAGACUCAGUGCCGCAGUUAACACAUUAAGCACUCCGCCUGGGGAGUACGACCGCAAGGUUGAAACUCAAAGGAAUUGACGGGGACCCGCACAAGCAGCGGAGCAUGUGGUUUAAUUCGAAGCAACGCGAAGAACCUUACCAGGUCUUGACAUCCUCUGAACGCCUAAGAGAUUAGGUUUUCCCUUCGGGGACAGAGAAACAGGUGGUGCAUGGUUGUCGUCAGCUCGUGUCGUGAGAUGUUGGGUUAAGUCCCGCAACGAGCGCAACCCCUGUGAUUAGUUGCCAUCAUUAAGUUGGGCACUCUAAUCAGACUGCCGUGGAUAACACGGAGGAAGGUGGGGAUGACGUCAAAUCAUCAUGCCCCUUAUGACCUGGGCUACACACGUGCUACAAUGGUCUGAACAGAGGGCUGCGAAGGAGCGAUCUGGAGCUAAUCCCUUAAAACAGAUCUCAGUUCGGAUUGCAGGCUGCAACUCGCCUGCAUGAAGUUGGAGUUGCUAGUAAUCGCGAAUCAGAAUGUCGCGGUGAAUGCGUUCCCGGGUCUUGUACACACCGCCCGUCACACCACGAGAGUUGGCAACACCCGAAGUCAGUGAGCUAACCGUAAGGAAGCAGCUGCCGAAGGUGGGGUCGGUAAUUGGGGUG
rnacentral:rRNA from 1 species